rnacentral:rRNA from 1 species
UAACACGUAUCCAACCUGCCGUCUACUCUUGGACAGCCUUCUGAAAGGAAGAUUAAUACAAGAUGGCAUCAUGAGUCCGCAUGUUCACAUGAUUAAAGGUAUUCCGGUAGACGAUGGGGAUGCGUUCCAUUAGAUAGUAGGCGGGGUAACGGCCCACCUAGUCUUCGAUGGAUAGGGGUUCUGAGAGGAAGGUCCCCCACAUUGGAACUGAGACACGGUCCAAACUCCUACGGGAGGCAGCAGUGAGGAAUAUUGGUCAAUGGGCGAGAGCCUGAACCAGCCAAGUAGCGUGAAGGAUGACUGCCCUAUGGGUUGUAAACUUCUUUUAUAAAGGAAUAAAGUCGGGUAUGGAUACCCGUUUGCAUGUACUUUAUGAAUAAGGAUCGGCUAACUCCGUGCCAGCAGCCGCGGUAAUACGGAGGAUCCGAGCGUUAUCCGGAUUUAUUGGGUUUAAAGGGAGCGUAGAUGGAUGUUUAAGUCAGUUGUGAAAGUUUGCGGCUCAACCGUAAAAUUGCAGUUGAUACUGGAUAUCUCGAGUGCAGUUGAGGCAGGCGGAAUUCGUGGUGUAGCGGUGAAAUGCUUAGAUAUCACGAAGAACUCCGAUUGCGAAGGCAGCCUGCUAAGCUGCAACUGACAUUGAGGCUCGAAAGUGUGGGUAUCAAACAGGGUUAGAUACCCUGGUAGUCCACACGGUAAACGAUGAAUACUCGCUGU